rnacentral:rRNA from 1 species
UACGAGGGGGGCGAGCGUUGUUCGGAAUUAUUGGGCGUAAAGGGUGCGUAGGCGGUUUGGUAAGUCUUGUGUGAAAUCUACAGGCUCAACUUGUAGUCUGCACGAGAAACUGCCGGGCUUGAGUGUGGGAGAGGUGAGUGGAAUUCCUGGUGUAGCGGUGAAAUGCGCAGAUAUCAGGAGGAACACCAAUAGCGAAGGCAGCUCGCUGGGACGUUACUGACACUGAGGCGCGAAAGCGUGGGGAGCGAACAGG